UUGAAUUGAUUAAGGCAAGUGAGGAAUUAAACAAUAAUCUAUUUGGUUGUGUUUGAUUGAUUGUUUCAGUGUGGAACACUAAGGCACUCUGUGACUGACUCAGCUUGUAACCCAAUCUCAUUGGUUCCAUAUCUCAGAAUGAAAACUUGCUGCCUUUCAAGAUUAAAUGAGCAGAUUUCUGCAGCCACAUUUUACGUUUCAACUGAAAUACAUUACCUCUGACAGUACAGCAUUCAAACAGGACUGGUGUAAGAUGUAACAGCAUGAGCUCAAAAACCUGAAGUCAGAUUUAAUAAUUGCCUUGAAUAUUCUGGAGUCUUGGUGCUGGAUUUUCAAUUCGAGGUUGAAAAUGGUGUCAGAAAUAUUCCUUAACCUUUCUUACCUCAUCACUCUCUUUACCUCUUCUUCACCAUUUGCCUCCCCUUUGCCCCCACGGAAUCCAUUAUUCCGUUUCGAGGAAACCAAAAUCUGAUAAAUCUGUGAAAGCCUUCAAACAUCCAAAUAGAGGGUUAAGCUUUUCUACAAAAAUCAAUGACAGCAAUAUGGAGAGUUUAAGUAAAUUGUUCUGGAUUUCGCAUUGGGCGAGCCUUGCAAUAUUGUGAAGUGCAGAAUAGCGACUUAUUCAAUCUAUUCUAAUGCACCUGAAGUCCCAAAGUCCUCAAAAUCAAGUCAAGAAGAACAUAAAUGAUCAAUAGAGGUCUUCUAGAAAUUACUGAUGAGAGUUAAUUGUGACAGACAGAGCACUUUAUAUCUCAACUUCCAAUUUUGCUGCUUUCUGUCAUCUAGCCAAUCAUUGAGAAGGGGAAACUAACCACCCUGAUUAUAAGUCAGAGUAUUUCUUCAGUUCUCUGCAAAAAGCCCACUCUGAUAUCAAUGUUCUCAACAUUCUAAUUCCUUCCAAUGAAAGAGCAACACUACAUUAAAACAGCACUACAGUACAUCACGCUGCCUUUACACUGCAAGUUCUGCUGUGGUGAUUCGAUUGUUAUCAUUCAUACCUCCUCCAAACAUCUUAUUUAUCAACACAACAAAUAUAAACAUACAGCUCCUCAAACCUGCUCCAUCAUUUAAUGAAAUAGUGGCUGUUUGUAUUUUGAAUUCCAGUUCCACACCUAAUUCCAAUAACAUUUAAUCCCCUUACCUAACAAGCACCUAUCUAACACCACCUUAAAAAUUUGAAGUCAAAAAUCACAGAA